rnacentral:rRNA from 1 species
AUUGAACGCUGGCGGCAUGCCUUACACAUGCAAGUCGAACGGUAGCGCGGGGCAACCUGGCGACGAGUGGCGAACGGGUGAGUAAAGCAUCGGAACGUGCCCUGGAAUGGGGGAUAACGUAGCGAAAGUUACGCUAAUACCGCAUAUUCUGUGAGCAGGAAAGCAGGGGAUCGCAAGACCUUGCGUUCUGGGAGCGGCCGAUGUCGGAUUAGCUAGUUGGUGGGGUAAAAGCCUACCAAGGCGACGAUCCGUAGCGGGUCUGAGAGGAUGAUCCGCCACACUGGGACUGAGACACGGCCCAGACUCCUACGGGAGGCAGCAGUGGGGAAUUUUGGACAAUGGGCGGAAGCCUGAUCCAGCCAUGCCGCGUGAGUGAAGAAAGCCUUCGGGUUGUAAAGCUCUUUCGGUGGGGAAGAAUUGCACGGGUUAAUACCCUGUGUAGAUGACGGUACCCGACUAAGAAGCACCGGCUAACUACGUGCCAGCAGCCGCGGUAA